rnacentral:rRNA from 1 species
AUUGAACGCUGGCGGCAGGCCUAACACAUGCAAGUCGAACGAGUGGCGGACGGGUUAGUCAUGACUGGGAAACUGCCUGUUGGAGGGGGAUAACUUCUGGAAAAGGUAGCUAAUACCGCAUACCGUCGGCUGUGCCCAGAUGGGAUUAGCUAGUAGGUGGGGUAACGGCGCACCUAGGCGACGAUCCCUAGCUGGUCUGAGAGGAUGACGAGCCACAGUGGAACUGAGACUCGGUACAGACUCCUACGGGAGGCAGCAGUGGGGAAUAUUGAGCAAUGGGCGGAGGCCUGCUGCAGCCAUGCCGCGUGUAUGAAGAAGGUCUUCGGGGUGUAAGUUACAGUCAGCGGGGAGGCGUUACCCACAGAAGAAGCACCGGCUAACUCCGUGCCAGCAGCCGCGGUAAUUC